AUUGAACGCUGGCGGCAGGCCUAACACAUGCAAGUCGGACGGUAGCACAGAGGAGCUUGCUCCUCGGGUGACGAGUGGCGGACGGGUGAGUAAUGUCUGGGGAUCUGCCCGAUAGAGGGGGAUAACCACUGGAAACGGUGGCUAAUACCGCAUAACGUCGCAAGACCAAAGAGGGGGACCUUCGGGCCUCUCACUAUCGGAUGAACCCAGAUGGGAUUAGCUAGUAGGCGGGGUAACGGCCUACCUAGGCGACGAUCCCUAGCUGGGAUGAGAGGAUGACCAGCCACACUGGAACUGAGACACGGUCCAGACUCCGACGGGAGGCAGCAGUGGGGAAUAUUGCACAAUGGGCGCAAGCCGGAUGCAGCCAUGCCGGGUGUAUGAAGAAGGCCUUCGGGUUGUAAAGUACUUUCAGCGGGGAGGAAGGCGAUGUGGUUAAUAACCGCAUUGAUUGACGUUACCCGCAGAAGAAGCACCGGCUAACUCCGUGCCAGCCGCCGCCGUAA
rnacentral:rRNA from 1 species